CCUCAGAGAGGCCCGUAGAGCACAGCUCCUCACCGUGGACUGGACCUGGAGGAUCCUCUUCUUGGUAGCAGCGGCAACAGGUGCCCACGCCCAGGUGCAGCUGGUGCAAUCUGGGGCUGGGGUGAAGCGGCCUGGGGCCUCAGUGAAGGUCUCCUGCAAGGCUUCUGGAUACACCUUUUCCACCUAGGGUAUGCAUUGGGUGUGACAGGCCCCUG